rnacentral:rRNA from 1 species
AAAUGCAUUUAGGUGCAGCGUCGUGCGUUCAACGAUGGGGGUAGAGCACUGAAUGGGCUAGGGGUCCUACAAGACUACCGACCCCAAUCAAACUCCGAAUACCAUCGUUCCAGAGCACGGCAGUGAGACCUCGGGGGAUGAGCUUCGAGGUCGAGAGGGAAACAGCCCAGACCGCCGGCUAAGGUCCCAAAAUCUGAACUAAGUGGUAAACGAUGUGAGAUUGCGAAGACAGCCAGGAGGUUGGCUUGGAAGCAGCCAUCCUUGAAAGAGUGCGUAACAGCUCACUGGUCGAGUGAUCUUGCGCGGACAAUGUAACGGGGCUCAAGUUCAGUACCGAAGCCGCGGAUGCGACUCUUUGAGUCGUAUGGUAGCGGAGCGUCGAGCGUGCAGCGAAGCGGCGGGACAACCCAGCCGUGGAGCGCGUUCGAGUGCGAAUCUUGGCAUGAGUAGCGAAUGAGGGGUGAGAACCCCCUCCGCCGUAUGUCCAAGGGUUCCUGGGCGAGGCCAAUCCUCCCAGGGUGAGUCGGGAGCUAAGGCGAGGCCGAGAGGCGUAGUCGAUGCACAACUGGUUGAUAUCCCAGUACCACCAUGUUCGCGUCCGUCCCAAUACUCCGUUGCUAAGGGGCUGUGUUGACUUCGGUCAACGCGAACCGACCCACAUUGUUGCGGGAAGCUGUAGGGGGACGCAGGAAGGUAGAUGAACCCGGUGAAUGGUAGAACCGGGGUAAGCGUGUAGGAGGAGGACCAGGUAAAUCCGGGCCUCAUAAACUCUGAGACGUGAUACCGAGCCGCUUCAGGCGAAGUCAUUGAUCCUAUGCUGCCUAGAAAAGCCCAGCAGCGAGUUGGCAUGGUGCCCGUACCCCAAACCAACACAGGUGGACAGGUAGAGCAUACCAAGGCGAGUGGGAUAACUAUGGUUAAGGAACUCGGCAAAUUGCCUCCGUAACUUCGGGAGAAGGAGGACCCCAGUAGCGUGAUGAGACUUGCUCUCUGAGCGUGAAGGGGUGGCACAAAAUUGAGGGAAGCGACUGUUUACCAAAAACACAGCAGCGUGCUAAGCCGUAAGGCGCUGUAUACGCUGUGACUCCUGCCCGGUGCUGGAAGGUUACGGGGAUGGGUUAGUCCUUCGGGACGAAGCUCUGAACCUAAGCCCCAGUAAACGGCGGCCGUAACUAUAACGGUCCUAAGGUAGCGAAAUUCCUUGUCGGGUAAGUUCCGACCUGCGCGAAUGGAGUAACGACUUCCCUACUGUCUCAACCAUAGACCCAGCGAAAUUGAAGUACGAGUAAGAUGCUCGUUAGCUGCAGAAGGACGGAAAGACCCCGUGGACCUUUACUAUAACUUGAUGUUGUGUUUUGUCAUAUGUUGUGUAGGAUAGGUGGGAGGCUUGGAAGCAUGGACGCUAGUCUGUGUGGAGUCAUCGUUGAAAUACCACCCUGCAUAUGGUGAGGCUCUAACCUAGACCCGUUAUCCGGGUUGGGGACAGCGUCAGGCGGGUAGUC